rnacentral:tRNA from 1 species
UGGGCAGGUAGCUCAGUCGGUAGAGCAGGGGCCUGAAAAGCCCCGUGUCGGCGGUUCAAUUCCGUCCCUGCCCAUUUA